CACUUCACAGAUCCUGCUGCACCCCCAGGGUACAAUCUGACUUGCUGAAUCGCUGUUCCCCUCCUUAAUCCUCCAGCCCAGGGAGUCUUUUACACGGCUUUGCUGUGUGAACGCCAGGCCCCUCCAGGCUCUGCUCACACACAGCCACACACAGCCGAGUUGCAUGAAGCUCUCCCUGCCACGCCGGAACCACUCACAGGGCAACAUCUGCAAAUUCUCCAGCCCCAGCGUCACACCCCAGAGACUGUGCAGCUCGAGUUCAGUGAUGAGUUUGUCAGGCCAUCUGAGGGUAACGAUCCUGCACCAGCCCUGCUGGACUCAGACACAUUCCCCAAACCCUCCAGUCCAACCCGCUGGUUUAGUAGCUAGAGAAGGAAGGGUUGUAUGGGGCUCGGAGGUCAGAACUGGUUAUAUCACAAAUAAAAGGUAAACGCGCACUCUGCAUCCCUGACUGUUACCAGGCUAAGGAAGGCUUGGAGCAGGCAGCUUUUCUCGCCCUACGGGUGCUGCAGGCAGUUCCCAGUUCUGAGUGCACAGGCUGGACGUCCUUCCCAGUCUGGGGCCAAUCUUCCCAGUUCAGUCUGUCAAGCUUUCAGGAAAGAAGGAGCAGGGAUGGGAGGAGAGGUGCCCAGGGCCCAGUUUCCCCCCUUUUUAUAUCCUGACGCGUCUUACUGGAAAAGUCCUGGCUGGGUGAUGUGGCUGGGCAGCUCCAGGGCACACCUGACCGAGCAAUUGUCCUUCAGGUGAACUGUAAAUCUCUCGUUUACAGCUCCCCACUGGCGAACGGCCAGGGAUGGUUGCAUAGCACCUGGCUGGGUGUUGGUCAUCCAGCCGCCGAGGUGCUUGUCUGUGGACAUUUCUCAGAUUUACAACAUGGUGCAGCUACAAACAUAGAACAGACUCUCAUAAUGCCGUAUACACACCUCUUACCAGGACGGUAAUAUUCAGCAGACCAUGAUUUUUCAAAUGAUACCUCACAAGGCAGACUUUGCUCCAGAUUUACUGUCAUCUUGUAAAAGUGGUGACCGUUCUUGUGUAGACAGUCACGGCUUCCCUCUUAAAAAACCUGUCGGCGUGUCAGUCACCCCAAGGCAGGGUGCGUUAAGGCCCGGUUGAGUUUUGACAGCAUAAUUCUGAUCUUACACUACUUUGCACAGGCCUAUGUGGUUAUCUCAUUUAACACUUUGGGGACCAGUCUCGCAAUCUCAGGAGUUAGCGCAUGUCUUUCCUGGCGUGUUGGAAAACACCGUUUUCUGUUCUUGCAGCACUGAUAUCACUUCUGCCACUUCAAUUGGUGUUACCCCAGGUGGAUAUUACUUACAUUCUGGAAAGUAUUACCUUGGCAUUUAGCCAUCCAAUCAAUGAGGUGGUGUGCCUCAGUUUCCCUUUCUACACAGCAGAUCAUGUUUGCCAUGGCUCCUCCACCGUGAUGGGUUUUAAGUCUGCUUGCAUGCAUUAUCUGUGAACAGCAUUACCCUGAGGCUUCUUGAAAUAAUCUGUGUCCUUGUUCACCACGUCCAUCAUUUCCAAGCAUUGUGCCUAUUGUAGCUUUUAACGGGGUUAAACAUUAACACCAAGUUUCUCCUUGUAAAAGGGUGUUUGAACUUAUCGCGCCUUUUUGUAUGUAGUCUGUCCCUGAGGUGGGUUUGGGUCAUACCCAUUGUGUCAUUUAACUCUUUAACCAAACCUUUGCCUUUGGCUCUUUCUUCACCUUAGGGUUCCCUUCGGUAUCCGUGAAUAAUCCAGCCCUGUCUCUGGGGCUGGGGUGUCUCAGGGGCUGGUGAAGCAGCGAUGCAGGGGCUCCCCCACAUGGGCAGGCCCCCUCUGGAGCUGUGUCCCAACACCAUGGCGAUGCAUCUGUAAGAAGCCCACCCUCCGCCUUGGGGUUACCGUGUUCCCCUCGCCUUCAGGGCUGACCUUCCCGAGCCCCCUUUUCUGUAACUAGCAGUAUUCUCUCAGCUGCUUCCUUGGUGCUGUCCAUCGGGAGGGAAACCGCCCCCGCCCCAUCAGCCAGGCUGUUGCGUCUUCACUGACCCCUUUUCCCCAAGCCGAGUUUACAUCCUGUCUUCAAGAGAGACCAUCACUUUCCAGAAGUAUGUCCAGACUGGUCGCCAGGAGAAUACAACCGGACAUCUACUCGAGGGUCUGGAGUGGGAGCCUGUCUGUCACCACCACCACCCCAUGUCCCCAAGGAGCUGGCUGUGAGACCGCUUUCCUCAGCUGCACGGUCCACCCUCUGACUCUGCUGCUGGAGUGGACAGGAGCUGAGUCUGUAUUUUCCCCCCCAAGCAACCAGCGUGAGGACAGUCACGUGCUAACAAUGCUACUUCCCCACGAGGCUGCCCAGGCACAGCCGGCAGCUUACAGGGGCUGCCCAUUUUCUACAAAAAUCCGCUCUCCAUGUUCCUUUCCUGGGAUCCUCUCUAAGGUCCCUUCCCUGGUGCCCUCUAGAGCGAGAUUUAUGGUUUGCUAAGCUGCAGAACUCUGCCAGUCACCACCUGGAAGAGUGUCCUCUGUUAUGGACGCUCCCUCCCGCUCCCUGGGAUCAGAGGGCGUGUAGCCUUCUGCUGUGGUACAGAAGCUGGUCUCAACCCCUCCCAUGUCUGGAAUCACGCUGCUCUCCCCCUGCUGCAGAGCAGAGAGCCUGCUGGCAGCAAUCUCUGGGGCUUCCCCAUUUCCCUCUGGGAUUCCAGCACAGGAUUCCUUCCUGCGGCGGCAGCUUGCCACACUAACAACCUCAGCUGUGCAGAAAACAUCAUUCCCCACAAGCAUGUCGACAGGGAUAUCGUCCACUGUUCCCACCUUCAAUUCACUUUCUGAGCCAUCAGAUUCUGUGUGCACCUUGGCUAAAGGCCCAGGAGUCUUGGCUCCGUCCUCCUACUGAUAAAAGCUCUGCCAUUUGACCUGGCAACAUGUCACCUUUUUGCAUGACUCUGUUGAUCCACAGUAAUCUGUGCACUGUAUCUUCCCAUCCCAGGUGUUCCCUGUUACUAAUUCGGAGUCUUAAUACAUCACCUGUCUAGUUCUGCAGAGGCAAAUCCCACAAAACCACUGUGGUACGCUCCAGCCGCCUCCGAGGUUUCUGUGCUGAGCACAGCGGUACUAACAUGGGCUUGCUGUCCCUCCGCGCAGAGCAAUGGUUUCUCAGGUGGUCAGUGGAAUUACAGUGGCAGGUGCUCCUCUGUUUUUACAGGAGGUUUGGGGUGGAGAUAAGAUGAAUGGUUUCGGGGGAGGUGCGUGCCCAGCCUCCCAGUCACCCUCCUUUUUUCCAGAGAGAGAACGGGAUCCCCCCUUCGCCCCAGGUUUAAACCCCAGGUUCUAGGACUUGUUAGACAUCUGAACUUGCUCAAAGAUGUCAUCCAAAGUGGCCAGUUCUGUCACCGACUCCUCCCACAGACACUGUUUCGCAUCAUUAUCCCAGAGACUCCGGAAACAUGGUUGGCCAAUCAGAUCUAGCAAUUGUCCAAAAUCUGCACCACCUUCACCCAUUUCCUUCUCAGGUCAUUCACCCUGUAAACAUACUCCCCAUGACUCGCACCAGCAUUCCUUUGAUGGCCUCUACAUUUUGUCCUACACACCUCAGGAGUCAAUUGAAACUCUUUCCAAACAGUGUCCACGAACAGACUGUGCCAAAGCAUCCAGAAAUGGCCUUGCAUUGGGUACAGCCUGAGCUUUACCAGUGUGAGGAUUCACUUGCCCACUACAAUCCCAUGGGCAUUGCCCAGCUUUUCAGCAGAGGUGAAAUAUUCCCCCAUACAGUCAGUUUCUAUAUAUACAGGCCCACAGCUGGUCCCCUUGGAGUUAAAGGGAGCGGCUGGUGACGCUGGGAUUUCCCUUUGUUUCCAGCAGGUGUUUUCGCUCUUUCUCCUCGGCCUCUUUGCCUCUCAGCUCCAACACUUGCUGAUGUGCUGCUGUUUCCGUAGCCGCAGUUACUUCUUUCUCCUUCGACACGGGCCGGUGAGCCUCGACCUUCAGUUCCAAGGUUCGCUGGGAUUCUUUCUUCUUUCCUGCUACCCGCAGUUUGCACAGCACUAACCUGGCAACUGCAUCAGGCUCACGCAUUUUUCUACCUUUCUGUGUCUAUUUCCCUUUCCCGAAAUAAGCGAAGAGAAAAUAACAAAACUGGAACCUGGUUUUCACACUUGAGCCCACUUAAAAUCAUCACACACGUGCUCAAAGUGCAAACGUCACUCAGCAACAAGCUGUGCAUAUAACCCUGCUCUCACUGUGCCACUGUGACAUCCCUGGCUUGCUUAAUCGCUGUUCCCCCUUAAUCCUCCAGCCCAGGGAGUCUUUUACACGGCUUUGCUGUGUGAACACCAGGCCCCUCCAGGCUCUGCUCACACACAGCCACACACAGCUGAGGUGCAUGAAGCUCUCCCUGCCACGCCAGAACCACUCACAGGGCAACAUCUGCAAAUUCUCCAGCCCCAGCGUCGCACCCCAGAGACUGUGCAGCUCGAGUUCAUUGAUGAGUUCGUCAGGCCAUCCGAGGGUAAUGAUCCUGCACCAGCCCUGCUGGGCUCAGCCACAUUCCCCAAACCCUCCAGUCCAACCCGCUGGUUUAGAUCAAACACUAAAGCGAGUUCAGUAGCUAGAGAAGGAAGGGUUGUAAGUGAUCCCAAGUUAUGGGGCACGAAGGUCGGAACUGGUUACAUCACGGAUAAAAGGUAAACGCGCAUUCUGCAUCCUGACUGUUACCAGGCUAAGGAAGGUUUGAAGCAGGCAGCUUUUCUCGCCCUACAGCAGCGGUUCUCAAACGUUUGUCCUGGUGACCCCUUUCACACAGCAAGCCUCUGGGUGCGACCCCCCCCCGCAUAAAUUAAAAACACUUUUUAUAUAUUUAACACCAUUAUAAAUGCUGGAGGCAAAGCAGGGUUUGGGGUGGAGGCUGACAGCUCGCAACCUCCUAUGUAAUAACCUCGCGACCCCCUGGGGGAGCUGCCCUACACCCUGAGGCUGAGCGCCACACUGCAGUCACCCCACGGCAUCGAUCGCGUGCUCUCCAACUGCUCCCUCACGCCCCUGAGCUACACGGCCGGGAACCGGACCAGCGCCCAGUGGAAUAAAACGGGGGGGGGGGAUUUCACCCUCAAACUGGACGUGGAGCUGCUGGUGUAUUACACGGAGCCGCACUAACCCAGCACGGUGCUGGAGGCCGGGCUGCCUGAAUCAGAGCCAGGAGACCCUGGUCCAGCUGUUGAAGAGUUUGCCCCUGGCUGUUAUUUCAGCAUCUACGGCUUUGGGUCUCCUUCUACCCGCAGAGCGUGGCAUACACCCAACAGACCAUGGCUGAGUCCCUGCAGCGCGUCCAGCAGCUCCAGGCUGACCUGGGGGGCACCGAGAUCUUGGCACCGCUACAAGCCAUUUACCGCAGCCCCUGCCGGGACGGGCACCCG